rnacentral:lncRNA from 1 species
GCAUAGAGUGACUAAUGGUUUCGCAUCCAUAAAGCGCUUAGCUUUAUAGACGAGUUAUCAGACUCUAAUCUUCAAGGGUUUGAUACAUAGAUACAAAAAGAAAGAAAAACGGGUUGAUCGUGGCUAAAAUACCAUUGAACUGAAAGUCUUUUCAAUUACAGUUGACCUAGGGCUAAACAACUACCGAAACGUGUAACAAUGUAAAUACAUUUCUGUUCUAACUUUUAGAGUGUGAUCCGCUUCUUUUUUUUUCGGAUAUACGAUCCACUGACGAUAUAUAUAUUUGGAAACGCAUGAGGGUUAGCGACAAGAUGGGCAGGCCAUAGAAAAUCUGCUUCAACAAAUUCUGUCCGACCCAUACGAACCUGGAAAAAUGGACGUUAAACGACGACGAUGAUGAUGAUGUUGCAGUGAGAUUUCACACCCACAACCCGACGAACGUCCGUUUCAUGUCACCGAAUACCCCUCGAACGUUCGCCAUUUAUUUGUGUAGUCACGAACCAAAAACUUAAUAGUAUUAUUGUAUGUUGCACGCUUUUACCUCUCAGACUUUCAUAAAGCAAGUGUCGGAUGUUGACCCAAUCUGCAACACCAACAAUAGAGAAUCUGCCGCCUUAAAAAGCCGUUAAGUACGGCCUUCAGACACAAACUUCAGAUUUUUCACAUUAAAAAAAACAAAAGCACAUCAUAAAGAUAUUUGCUAAACAUAUUUAUAUUUCUUACUUGAUCAUUUAAUAAAUACAUUUGCACCAUAAAUGUAAUUAUAUUUCUCUAUAUAGCUAAUAAAAAAUUUCUUUGAUUCAGCAUU